rnacentral:piRNA from 5 species
UGAAUGUCAAAGUGAAGAAAUUC